rnacentral:rRNA from 1 species
AACGAACGCUGGCGGCAUGCCUAACACAUGCAAGUCGAACGAAGGCUUCGGCCUUAGUGGCGCACGGGUGAGUAACACGUGGGAACCUGCCUUCUGGUUCGGGAUAACGUUUGGAAACGAACGCUAACACCGGAUAAGCCCUUCGGGGGAAAGUUUACGCCAGGAGAGGGGCCCGCGUCCGAUUAGGUAGUUGGUGAGGUAACGGCUCACCAAGCCGACGAUCGGUAGCUGGUCUGAGAGGAUGAUCAGCCACACUGGGACUGAGACACGGCCCAGACUCCUACGGGAGGCAGCAGUGGGGAAUAUUGGACAAUGGGCGCAAGCCUGAUCCAGCAAUGCCGCGUGAGUGAUGAAGGCCUUAGGGCUGUAAAGCUCUUUCGCACGUGACGAUGAUGACGGUAACGUGAGAAGAAGCCCCGGCUAACUUCGUGCCAGCCGCCGCAGUAA